rnacentral:snoRNA from 7 species
GGUCAGUGAUGUCAUGGCAUGUAUUAGCUGAAUGCUAACCUGAUGCAAGUUACAAAUUACACUGAGACCUU